rnacentral:rRNA from 1 species
CAGCCGCCGCGGGAAUACGUAGGGUGCGAGCGUUAAUCGGAAUUACUGGGCGUAAAGCGUGCGCAGGCGGUUAGGAAGGUGUGAUGUGAAAGCCCUGGGCUUAACCUAGGAAGUGCAUCGCAAACCAACUAGCUGGAGUAUAAGAGAGGGUGGCGGAAUUUCCGGUGUAGCGGUGAAAUGCGUAGAGAUCGGAAGGAACGUCAAUGGCGAAGGCAGCCACCUGGCUUAAUACUGACGCUGAGGCGCGAAAGCGUGGGGAGCGAACAGGAUUAGAUACCCGUGUAGUCCCUGUCUCUUAUAC